CACGUAGGGCGCAAGCGUUGUCCGGAAUUAUUGGGCGUAAAGAGCUCGUAGGCGGUCUGUUGCGUCCGCUGUGAAAACUCGGGGCUUAACCCCGAGCCUGCAGUGGAUACGGGCAGACUAGAGGUAGGUAGGGGAGAAUGGAAUUCCCGGUGUAGCGGUGAAAUGCGCAGAUAUCGGGAGGAACACCGGUGGCGAAGGCGGAUCUCUGGGCCAUAACUGACGCUGAGGAGCGAAAGCAUGGGGAGCGAACAGG
rnacentral:rRNA from 1 species